rnacentral:rRNA from 1 species
UACGUAGGGAGCAAGCGUUGUCCGGAAUCAUUGGGCGUAAAGCGCGCGUAGGUGGCCCCAUAAGUCCGCUGUGAAAGUCAAAGGCUCAACCUUUGAAAGCCGGUGGAUACUGUGGGACUAGAGUACGGAAGAGGCGAGUGGAAUUCCUGGUGUAGCGGUGGAAUGCGCAGAUAUUAGGAGGAACACCAAUAGCGAAGGCAGCUCGCUGGGACGUUACUGACACUGAGGCGCGAAAGCGUGGGGAGCGAACAGG